rnacentral:rRNA from 1 species
UGGGGAAUUUUGGACAAUGGGCGCAAGCCUGAUCCAGCAAUGCCGCGUGCAGGAUGAAGGCCUUCGGGUUGUAAACUGCUUUUGUACGGAGCGAAAAGGUCUGCCCUAAUACGGUGGGCUCAUGACGGUACCGUAAGAAUAAGCACCGGCUAACUACGUGCCAGCAGCCGCGGUAAUACGUAGGGUGCGAGCGUUAAUCGGAAUUACUGGGCGUAAAGCGUGCGCAGGCGGUUAUACAAGACAGAUGUGAAAUCCCCGGGCUCAACCUGGGACCUGCAUUAGUGACUGUAUAGCUAGAGUACGGUAGAGGGGGAUGGAAUUCCGCGUGUAGCAGUGAAAUGCGUAGAUAUGCGGAGGAACACCGAUGGCGAAGGCAAUCCCCUGGACCUGUACUGACGCUCAUGCACGAAAGCGUGGGGAGCAAACA